rnacentral:rRNA from 1 species
CCUACGGGAGGCAGCAGUGAGGAAUAUUGGUCAAUGGGCGCGAGUCUGAACCAGCCAAGUAGCGUGAAGGAUGACUGCCCUACGGGUUGUAAACUUCUUUUAUAAAGGAAUAAAGUGAGGCACGUGUGCCUUUUUGUAUGUACUUUAUGAAUAAGGAUCGGCUAACUCCGUGCCAGCAGCCGCGGUAAUACGGAGGAUCCGAGCGUUAUCCGGAUUUAUUGGGUUUAAAGGGAGCGUAGAUGGGUUGUUAAGUCAGUUGUGAAAGUUUGCGGCUCAACCGUAAAAUUGCAAGUGAUACUGGCAGUCUUGAGUACAGUUGGGGUGGGCGGAAUGCGUGGUGUAGCGGGGAAAUGCUUAGAU